rnacentral:rRNA from 1 species
UACGUAGGGUGCAAGCGUUAAUCGGAAUUACUGGGCGUAAAGCGCACGUAGGCGGCUUUCUAAGUCAGGGGUGAAAUCCUGGAGCUCAACUCCAGAACUGCCUUUGAUACUGGAGAGCUUGAGUUCGGGAGAGGUGAGUGGAACUGCGAGUGUAGAGGUGAAAUUCGUAGAUAUUCGCAAGAACACCAGUGGCGAAGGCGGCUCACUGGCCCGAUACUGACGCUGAGACACGAAAGCGUGGGUAGCAAACAGG